AACAAACGCUGGCGGCGUGCCUAAUACAUGCAAGUCGAACGGGGAAAGCUUUCGGGUGAGUACUAGUGGCGCACGGGUGAGUAACGCGUGGAUAAUCUGCCUUGAAGAGGGGGAUAACCAGUCGAAAGAUUGGCUAAUACCGCAUAAGACCACAGGAACUGAGGUUCUAGAGGUCAAAGGUUUUUCGCUUCAAGAUGAGUCCGCGUAAGAUUAGCUAGUUGGUGAGGUAACGGCUCACCAAGGCGACGAUCUUUAACUGGUCUGAGAGGAUGAUCAGUCACACUGGAACUGAGACACGGUCCAGACUCCUACGGGAGGCAGCAGUAGGGAAUAUUGCACAAUGGAGGAAACUCUGAUGCAGCGACGCCGCGUGAGUGAUGAAGGCCUUCGGGUCGUAAAGCUCUGUCGCAGGGGAAUAACACAAUGAAGGUACCCUGUAAGAAAGGAUCGGCUAACUUCGUGCCAGCCGCCGCCGUAAUAC
rnacentral:rRNA from 1 species